CAGGUCAAGCAAGUCUCGUAAAUUUCACGAUUGCGAGCCACGCUUCACGCAACCGUGUUUGCGUACUUGUGUUUCGAGUUGCGUGGUCUUGCGGAGUUACAUUUACCAAAUUUAAAUCCGUUCCAACAUGCUGUCAAAAUUAAAUCAAUAUGUCAAUAUGGCUACUGGGUGUAAAAGAUAAAUCUUAUUCUAUCUGUUCUUAAUGAGUUUUAGAUAAUUUUAGUUGUAUUUCUUUGUAAUUUUGUGUUGUACAAAGAUUAAUUUAACAUUUUCUCUGGAAGUAUUAAUUUAGAAAGAUAAUUAUGCUUCAUUGGUGUUGUGUUUUGAAGUGUGAAAUGCAAAGUAAUUGUGAUAAAGUUCACUUUUAAACUGAACUAAAUAAGGUAUCUGAGAGACAACAAUGGUUAAAUGCAAUACAAUGUACAGGUUUUACUAGCGAAAUGAAAAUUUUCCUGUCCUGUCUGCUGUAAUCAUUUUAUAUCUGGAAAACCAGCCGACUUAAUCGAUAAUAACAAUCUCCAGAUUGGGUUCCUUCAAUAAAUAUGGGCUAUAAACACAAUGAAAUAAGUUCCCCAAAAUCUAAAAUGGAGUGGUAUCAAAGGAGAAUUAAAGGAAAAAAUAUUCAUAUUGAAAUUAUUUAUAAGGCACUGGACUGUCUUAAAUUCUACAAUAAUACUAGAAUCAGCUGAGAGAAGUGGUCUACAAAAAACCAGGAAGGAAACGGAAUAUGUGGCUACGAAAGGCAAAAGAAAGGUUUACAAAGCAAAUGUGACACAUUUUUUUGAAAUAUUUAGGAAUAUCAGUAAAUUGCAUUAAAAAAAUGUAUGAAAAGAUUUUGUUCAAUAAAAAUGUUUAUAUUUA